AUGAAAGCUUACAACAAAAAUUUUCAGGUCGUUGCAAGUUGUUCUAACUCGAAGACGAGUUUUUAUUCCAAGCGGGAGAGUAUGAUGUGGAGCAUGUUCACGUGGAAGCUGUAUUUUCUUUUAUUAUUAUUAACUUUUCAUAUUCAAUUUUGAUGUUUCCAAUUCUAAUUAGGUUUUCUAUUUUAGUUUCCUAUUCCAUCUA
rnacentral:misc_RNA from 1 species